ensembl:lncRNA
CGAUUCAGCUGGUCUAGCUGACUAGGAAUCUUCAAGAAUCUGUCUGCAGCCUCCUCACUCCUCAGUGAUCAUAACUGGCAUUUCCACUGAUGCUGGGGAAUCCAAAUUAGAUCCUUCUGCUUGUAUAGUAAUCAUCUUCCUAGCUCCCAAUACACAGUGACUUUUAAAGCAACCCCAGAAAAACUUCCAAAUGUUGCUUGGCUAUACUAACAUUUGCAAGAGAAUAGUGGCACAGAAAGCUUGAAAGCCACUGGGACUAUUGUAGUCUUAAGAACCUGGUUACUCUUGUUCCAACUCCUCUGAGCACUGGCCGUCACAGAGAAAUUAGUCAAGUGGUCCACAACAGCAAAAAAGGAAAGAGGCAGCAGUCAAGUUUACCUGUCUCCUCAGGCCGUGCACCUCACUAGACUCUGGUCCUUACAAUUGACAAGAUCAUUUCUUCAGGUUCACCCGCUUGGUCCCCUUGCUAUGUCAAAAUUACCAUAGACCAACAACUUAACUAAUAGGCUUUUAUUUCUCGGAGUUCUACAGGCUGGAGAUCCCAUGAGGACAGCUGAUCAUGUGCAGAAGGCCAUCCUCCUAGGUGACAGAAGACAGACAUCCAUGGGGGAAUAAGCGUUUGACCUAUAAGCAUAGCACCUGACACAGGCCUGACCCAUAGGAGGGCAUUUUCAUCAAACAGCACUGGUGUUCAAUCUUACUGAAUCUCAUGUAUCCAGGCUGGCCUUGAACUCCUAAUCCUUCUGUUCUCCUCCCAAGAGCUGGAGCUACAGAUGUGCACCGCUACGCCCAGCUUGCAUAGCUGUCGGGCAAUGAAUUCAGGGCUUCUUGCACACUAGGCAAGCAUCCUACCAACUGAGCUACAACUCCAGCCCGGCGAGGUUGUAAUGAGUGUUAACGGCUGCAUCUGUGAGUCUCGCUGAAGCAGACCUUUAAGGAGCAAAAGGAAAAGCGGGGUUUGAGGUAACUUUUCAGAUCCUUGAAGCCUCAGCAGUGGUCAGCUUUCUCCUCCACCUGGGUGCGUCACUGAGGUGACCUCUCUAGAUGUCAGAGCAGAAGGAAGGAAACAGAGGAAGCAAAGGCAGACAAAGCAGAAGGCUGGUUCCCUGGCUUUGAUGCUGCAGUUUCUCUGAGCAGGAG